rnacentral:rRNA from 1 species
GGGCGGGUGCCGGGCAGCUAUACAUGCAGUCGAACGCUUCUUUCCUCCCGAGUGCUUGCACUCAAUUGGAAAGAGGAGUGGCGGACGGGUGAGUAACACGUGGGUAACCUACCCAUCAGAGGGGGAUAACACUUGGAAACAGGUGCUAAUACCGCAUAACAGUUUAUGCCGCAUGGCAUAAGAGUGAAAGGCGCUUUCGGGUGUCGCUGAUGGAUGGACCCGCGGUGCAUUAGCUAGUUGGUGAGGUAACGGCUCACCAAGGCCACGAUGCAUAGCCGACCUGAGAGGGUGAUCGGCCACACUGGGACUGAGACACGGCCCAGACUCCUACGGGAGGCAGCAGUAGGGAAUCUUCGGCAAUGGACGAAAGUCUGACCGAGCAACGCCGCGUGAGUGAAGAAGGUUUUCGGAUCGUAAAACUCUGUUGUUAGAGAAGAACAAGGACGUUAGUAACUGAACGUCCCCUGACGGUAUCUAACCAGAAAGCCACGGCUAACUCUGUGCAGCAGCCGCAA